ensembl:lncRNA
AUGCUUGACCACACAGAACUGUUGGGCCAGCGUCUGAGGAGCCUACUCACGGGUCCGGGUAACAGUCCCGGAACCCUUCCCAGCAUGCCUUGCACAGCCUCGCUAUCCCAGCAUGCCCUGGAGGGCCCCACUAUCCCAGCAAGCCCUGGCGACCUCACCAUCCCGGCAUGCCCCGGGGCCCUUACUCAAUUAUUACUUCGUUUACAUCCUCUUACCUACAGCCUUCUCUUAUUCUUUCUCUUUCUCUCCUGUACUACUUCCCAAAAUACCGUGGUCAAAAUGUUAUAUUUGAGGCAGAUGUGCAUUUAAAGAAAAAGAAACUUCUAGUCAUCCAGCCAGUAAAAUUAAUUUAACAAACACACAUGGGCAGGUUUGAUUUGAUAUUGCUCAAAAAUAUUUUUUUUCUCAAAUGAUCCAUAUUCCUAUUCUUCACUCGCCACCCCUGUUCUGACUUCUACUUAUCCAGGAAAGUAUUAUGAAGACAUAUAAGUUAAUGGAAGGAAGAGGAUGAAAUCUUUCUGCCCUUUGCCGUAAAUAAAUUGGAACUGCUUUAAAGUGUUCUCUUUGAAAUCCUGUCCACUGAAGACCCGAGGAAUCAUCAGAAAUUAGGAACCCCAGUUUCUAUUUUGAGUCCUUGUUGAGAAAGGGAAGGACUUAGUAUCCAGCUUUGAGCUAAUGUUACAUGCCAGGAAGGGUCUUAGGCAGUGAAGGUGCUUUAUCUGUUGCUCCCACAUUAGGGCCUCAGCCAUAAGAGUCUUCAUUUAUUUUGCUCUUUACCAAGUCUUUAAAAUGAAAGUAAGACUGAUUUAUCACUGAAGAACAUUGAACUCUGGUUGAAAGGCAUUAAGUUCAGAAAACACAAGUCCAGAGGUUUUAAACUAUAUUGAUGGAGAACAGUCAUAGUAACAGCUAAUAUUUACUUAGUGCUUAUAAGAGACAACUGUGCUAUAUGCUUUAGGAUUCUGUGUAAUUUGUAGUAUGUUUCACGUACAAGCUCACUAAAUUCUUUCAGUUAAUGACGGUGGCAGUUGCUAAGCUAUAGGCCAACUUAUUCCUUUCAUUCACGGUCUAGGGAGAGAUGACACGGGCAUGUUGAGUCACUCAAAACAGGCUCAAACCACCCCAAGGAGUUUGCUUGAUGAAAGGUUUUCCUUUCCUUCAAAGCCACUUCCUGUGUCACAUGACCUGUAUCACUCCAAAGAUAAUAACACUUCAUGCUUCCAGAACACUUUUAUCCAAAGAUUUCAAAGCAUUUUCAAAUGUUAAUUAAGCCUUCACCAUUCUGGAAGAUAGCAAUGCCAAUCUUGCUGUUUAAAUACUGUAUUCCAGAACACAGGUUGUUCUAAUCACUGAGAGGGAAAUAGAGGCCUCUCUGAGCAAAUCCAGUGGGUAAGCCACCACCCAAACACUGAUGACACCCAGAAUUGUCCUAUGUCUCCUGGGAAACCACCACAGCAUCUCUGUUCUGAAUUGUCCACUGCUCCCACUGGUUGUUUACCUUGGAAGAACCACAUCAAAGAAAAAAAGGGGUAAGCAGAAAGAAAAGACUUUCUAAUAGUUC